UUAGAUUGUAGUCUAUGGGGAAAUC
rnacentral:piRNA from 1 species